UAUCCGAUACGUAUCGGAUAAGGAUACGCAUCCGAUACACGCCCGAUACGUAUUGGAUACGGGAUUGAAGUAUCUGAAAUUUAAAAAAAUUAAAAAAAAUCGGAUACGGGUCGGAUACGUUGGGAUACGGCGAGACACGUUUUGGGAUACGGAUGGACACGUUUCGGGAUACGGACGGGAUACGUGAGACAUAUUAUUGGGU
rnacentral:lncRNA from 1 species